CAAGAUAUAGCUUAUUUUAAAGCAUUUCAUUUACAUUGAAAAGUUUAUUUAUUUUUGAAUUAUUUUGU
rnacentral:tRNA from 1 species